rnacentral:rRNA from 1 species
AUUGAACGCUGGCGGCAUGCUUUACACAUGCAAGUCGAACGGUAACAGGGUGCUUGCACCGCUGACGAGUGGCGAACGGGUGAGUAAUGCGUCGGAACGUGCCGAGUAGUGGGGGAUAACGCAGCGAAAGUGGUGCUAAUACCGCAUACGUACUGAGGUAGAAAGUGGGGGACCUUCGGGCCUCACGCUAUUAGAGCGGCCGGCGUCUGAUUAGCUAGUAGGUGAGGUAAAGGCUCACCUAGGCGACGAUCAGUAGCGGGUCUGAGAGGAUGAUCCGCCACACUGGGACUGAGACACGGCCCAGACUCCUACGGGAGGCAGCAGUGGGGAAUUUUGGACAAUGGGCGAAAGCCUGAUCCAGCCAUGCCGCGUGUCUGAAGAAGGCCUUCGGGUUGUAAAGGACUUUUGUCAGGGAGGAAAUCCCUAGUGCUAAUAACACUGGGGGAUGACAGUGCCUGAAGAAUAAGCACCGGCUAACUACGUGCCAGCAGCCGCCGUAACAC